AGCUUUGUGCAGUGGCAGUAUCAUAGCCAAUGAGGUUUAUCCAAGGCAUGAUUAUUGCUAAUUAAAUUAUGUUCAUACA
rnacentral:snRNA from 1 species